UACGGAGGGUGCAAGCGUUAUCCGGAUUUACUGGGUUUAAAGGGUGCGUAGGUGGGCAGGUAAGUCAGUGGUGAAAUCUCCGAGCUUAACUCGGAAACUGCCAUUGAUACUAUCUGUCUUGAAUUAUCUGGAGGUGAGCGGAAUAUGUCAUGUAGCGGUGAAAUGCUUAGAUAUGACAUAGAACACCAAUUGCGAAGGCAGCUCACUACGGAUAUAUUGACACUGAGACGCGAAAGCGUGGGGAGCAAACAGG
rnacentral:rRNA from 1 species